rnacentral:rRNA from 1 species
CCUACGGGAGGCAGCAGUGGGGAAUAUUGGGCAAUGGGCGCAAGCCUGACCCAGCAACGCCGCGUGAAGGAAGAAGGCUUUCGGGUUGUAAACUUCUUUUCUCAGGGACGAAGCAAGUGACGGUACCUGAGGAAUAAGCCACGGCUAACUAUGUGCCAGCAGCCGCGGUAAUACGUAGGUGGCAAGCGUUAUCCGGAUUUACUGGGUGUAAAGGGCGUGUAGGCGGGAAAGCAAGUCAGAUGUGAAAACCAUGGGCUCAACCUGUGGCCUGCAUUUGAAACUGUUUUUCUUGAGUACUGGAGAGGCAGACGGAAUUCCUAGUGUAGCGGUGAAAUGCGUAGAGAUUAGGAGGAACACCAGUGGCGAAGGCGGUCUGCUGGACAGCAACUGACGCUGAGGCGCGAAAGCGUGGGGAGCAAACAGGAUGAGAUACCCGUGUAGUC